ACUCAAAUGAAUAGACGGGGGCCCGCACAAGCGGUGGAGCAUGUGCUUUAAUUCGAUGCAACGCGAAGAACCUUACCAAGGCUUGACAUCCCUCUGCUGUACGCAGAAAUGCGUAUUUUCUACGGAACAGGGGAGACAGGUGGUGCAUGGUUGUCGUCAGCUCGUGUCGUGAGAUGUUGGGUUAAGUCCCGCAACGAGCGCAACCCUUAUUUUUAGUAGCCAUCAAGUAAAGUUGGGUACACUAAAAAGACUGCCGAGGAAACACGGAGGAAGGUGGGGAUGAGGUCAAAUCAUCAUGCCCCUUAUGCCUUGGGCUAGACACGUGCUACAAUGGCUGCAACAGAGUGACGCGAGCUUGUGAGAGUAAGCCAAUCACAAAAAAGCAGUCUCAGUUCGGAUUGUAGUCUGCAACCCGACUGCAUGAAGUUGGAAUCGCUAGUAAUCGCGAAUCAGCACGUCGCGGUGAAUACGUUCCCGGGCCUUGUACACACCGCCCGU
rnacentral:rRNA from 1 species